UACGGAGGAGGCAAGCGUUAUCCGGAAUUAUUGGGCGUAAAGCGUCCGUAGGUGGUUCACCAAGUCUGCUGUCAAAGGGUGGGGCUUAACCUCAUAAAGGCAGUGGAAACUGGUGAGCUAGAGUGCGGUAGGGGUAAGGGGAAUUCCGAGUGUAGCGGUGAAAUGCGUAGAGAUUGGGAAGAACAUCGGUGGCGAAAGCGCCUUACUGGGCCUGCACUGACACUGAGGGAAGAAAGCUAGGGGAGCGAAAGGG
rnacentral:rRNA from 1 species